AGCUAGUUUGUGUCGACCAGCAUGGUGUUUCUAUUUUUUUUUUUUUUUGUGGUUCUAGGACCAACAAGAAUGUUGAUACAGGAACAUAUCCGUCUUGUUUAAAUCAUUGUUAUCUGCUUCCAGUGAUUUCCUUCCCUCUUUAAUUAAUCUUUAUCUGUUUUUUUUGUUUUUUUUUUACAGGAUGAUGAAAGGGUAAGAUACCAGCAGCAUUAGUAUUCUUACUUUUUUUAAUAUGUAAUUUGAUUUGUGAUUGGUUUAGUUUAUUUUUUAUGUGCAAUGUGUUAUAUAUUCCUAGUGUCCUUCGGAUCGCUCUCCUGGUGUAGAAGGCUGUGAUUGUCCUAGUGGUAAACCUGGUCUACCCGGUCUACCUGGGCCUAUGGGCUUCAGAGGGGAGAAAGGCAGAGAAGGACCCCCUGGCCCUGAUGGCAAACCUGGGAAACCAGGAGAAAAGGGAGCAUCUGGAGAGCCUGGUCGAGAUGGACAGAAAGGUGAAGGAGGCGAACCAGGACAAAAGGGGGAGCGAGGGCUGGAAGGACCCAAAGGAGAAAUGGGACCACCAGGGCCUUCAGGACCAACAGGCACUGGAUUUUCCAAACUGGAUUUAGAUGACUUGGGAAUUCAAGGAAGCAAGGUUAAAAAAACAAUACAUCCUAUUAAUUCUAUUGAAAAUUAACAGGAAAUGAUUACCAAACACUGCAAACUAUUGUAACCUUAUAGGGAAUCCCAGGAGAACCAGGGGAAAUGGGACCACCCGGAAAACCUGGACUGAAUGUAAGAAAUUAGUGGUCAUUAACAGUUUUAUUCCACUUUACAGUAUUCUGUUUUAAAUUCAAGUAAAAAAGUAUUUUUAAAAGUCUUCUUUGUUCUCUUUCCUCUGCAGGGUGAACCUGGGACAUCUGGUCUACCUGGACAUGCUGGUCCCAAGGUAAGACAGAUUUCAGACUGACGUAUAUCCAAAACUCUUAUAAUUCAACUACCACUACUCCUGAAAUCAUAAUCAGUCACAAAUAGGGAUGUUUGAUGAUGGAGGCAUAUUAAAACAGCUUUAAAAAGGCAACAGCCUCCAAUACUGCAAAAAG
ensembl:lncRNA